rnacentral:lncRNA from 1 species
UUUGUGAUGUGCUAGUUAAGUAGAAAAUACUUAAGAAAUUGUUUAACUAUCUAAUAACUGUAUUUUAGCCAGAGAAUGCCUCCGAGAAGACGUCAACCACAACAAUGAACCCCUGAGGGGUCUACCAUUAACAACAACGUCGAUGCUAACCUAGUUUAGCAAUUGGUGACAUUAUUGACGAGAGCACUUCAGAAUCAGUCGCAGAACCAAAUAGCUAUCUUCAAAGAUUUUAAGGUAGUUGGACCACCAGAGUUUCGUGGGUCCAUGAAUCCAGUUGAGGCACAGACUUGGAUCAUAGAAAUAGAGAAAAUUUUUGACGUUGUUAGAGUACCUGUG